GAGAGGAGUCGAGCAGAGAGAGCUGCUUUUUCAUGAAACGGGAGUAAAGUAGUGAACAUAGAAGAGAGAAACAAACUAAAGUAUCGAUCAUAUACCACUACCAACGUCCUGAUCGAUAUCUGCGUCGAUCUGCCCACCCUUGUCUCCUGGAUCGUAGCUGAGAUCAGCGUGAACCACGUGGGACUCUGCUCCCUGAUCUGUUUCCUGUGUUUGGAAAGAGUUCCAGCUUCAUCACGGAGUUUCUCUCGGUUUGUGGGCUCAUCUAAAGUAACUGCCAUCUUUGGUUGGAGGAGCCGCAACAGAGUCCAUAGGCAGUUUUGAAUUUAGGAGCGGCAAGAUGGCAGCGGCAAACCCUGGCGGUUCUCCGGGUUCGUGGCAACCACGGAUGGGAAAAUGUGGAGGUUGCACGGCUGAUGUUUACUGUUCGUGGCACAGGAAGAGGCAGUUUCAUUUCAGGAAUGAGUGUGCACAAUCAAAGAAUAGAGCGACUGUGGAGAGACCUCUGGGUGGCCGUUACAUGCAUUUACUACGAUGUUCUUCACAACCUUGAGGAAGAAGGCCUUCUUGACAUUUCAAAUGCUGCACACCUCUUUUGCUGCCAUUACGUCUUUCUUCCUCGACUGGAGGAUGAUUUUAAUACAUUUUGCAGUGGAUGGGACAACCAUCCACUGCGAACAGAAAACAACAUGAGUCCCAAUCAGCUGUGGGAGUGAUGAUCCACCAGGACAAACUCAGCAGUGUGUGAGGAAGAGGAGGAGGAAGAGCCAGCAGCAGCUGACAGAUGGAGAGAAUAGACAGACUGUUCCCUGUUUGUGAAGGACUGCUAGAAAAGUUUAAAAGAACUAAUUGUCUGUCCUGAAUCAGUCUUAUUAGGUAAUGUUCAAAUAAUGUUAUCAUUCCAGUGUUUUCAGUGUGGGAGAAAGUACUCAGGGCCUUCAAGUUACACACUAUGAAAGGCAGCAACAAGUUUAAUAUUCAGAAACCUAAAGUAUGUAUCAGCAGCAGAAUGGAGCUAAAAAUAAAUGUUUGUUUCAGUUCUAUGAAGCUUUGAGUAUUUUGGAUUAGUAGCACUGCUGUGUUUGUUGCAUCAUAUUGCUGUAAUUGUUUAUAUGCUUUAUAUAUUCUGAGGUAAGUUGAUCUAUAGUGUUACAUCAUAUUCUAUAAGGAUGUUAUGUGUUUGUAGACUUUCUGCCCAGUUUGACCCAUUUAGCAGAAGUCAGCCUGUUUAAGGCUCUGAUAUCUAUUCUGUAUGACUUAAAGCAGUUAUGACAUGGUCUGAUUUUCUCACCCAAUAA